UGUGAAAGUCGCACCUCGCAAGCAUUGCUGUGACAACUGUGAUCGGACGGUUAGUGGAAUAAGGGAAAGUGAGCGAUAUGAAGGGAUCGACGAGAACGACAAUUUUGAUUUUAGGCACGGAACAUUUGUUGAAUGUAAUCGAAGCCUUCGGUGGUAAUUUAGGUAUGGCGCUACCGAUCGCACUGCGCUGCGCGGCUCCAAAAGUAAGAAACUAAAUGAUCAUUACCUGAAAAAUUCUUUACGAUUUGCUUCGAGCGAAUCUAGUCAUCCACAAAUUUUACUAAGGCCAUGUAAACAGUACAAUCGAACUGUCAAGAAAAGUGAGGUUAACUGUUUCAGUAAAGAACCUAAUUGUUGACAUGGUCGUUCACCAAUAUAAAUGUAAAAAAAUCUUAAUCCUCAAAAACUAGGAAUCUGGAACAUACCUGAUUAUGUACACCGCAGAAGAACUACUUAUUGAGCAACAGGUGCUAUGAUUUGUUAAACGAACAUCUCGAGAUUCACGGAAGACAUUCUUUUCCAUGGAAGGCGAGCAUCUGUCAGCUUCGAUUGGCAAAAGUUCCUGUGAAAUUUUUUAAUGUUGAGUGCAAAUAAGUCGGUAUGAUGGCAGAGCACUCGGGUGCCAGAUAGCAACAUUUCCAGAUACAGUACAGACUGGUUUGCUAACGUGUGAGAUGUCCAACCUCAACCAGUAUGCGAAGAACAAAAGGAUAUUCAUAUUUUGUCAGCAAUUGCAAAAGAGUCUUGCUUACGCUAAUAAAUCUGAAGCUCUCCGACCAAAACAUAGUGAAGAUUUCAACAGACAACAGUAUAACUUCUUUAAAAAAUCACUGUGUUGUGCCUAUGAAUCCAAAAUAUGCUGCGGUUUAGCGGAUAUGUUGGUGUACACAGGAUUAAGACUUAGUGGUUGAAUAGUGUUUUAAAGGAGUCGGAAUAGGCGAAGGAUUUAGAAAGUUAUUAUCAGGAAGUCUGUAGAGCUGACCGGUAUGGACAACCAUCCAAGUGUAUUAUGUUUAAGAGUAGCGCUGAUUUCAAAACACAUGAGCUACUACGAGAUUAUAAUCAGGGUGUUGUUCAGAAGAAUUCAAAAGCUUUGUCGAAGAAGAUGCACGAAUAUUUGGACACAAGAGACUGCAGACGGAGGUUUAUCCUAAAAUAUUUGAAGGAGACAAUGUGAAAGUCGCACCUCGCAAGCAUUGCUGUGACAACUGUGAUCGGACGGUUAGUGGAAUAAGGGAAAGUGAGCGAUAUGAAGGGAUCGACGAGAACGACAAUUUUGAUUUUAGGCACGGAACAUUUGUUGAAUGUAAUCGAAGCCUUCGGUGGUAAUUUAGGUAUGGCGCUACCGAUCGCACUGCGCUGCGCGGCUCCAAAAGUAAGAAACUAAAUGAUCAUUACCUGAAAAAUUCUUUACGAUUUGCUUCGAGCGAAUCUAGUCAUCCACAAAUUUUACUAAGGCCAUGUAAACAGUACAAUCGAACUGUCAAGAAAAGUGAGGUUAACUGUUUCAGUAAAGAACCUAAUUGUUGACAUGGUCGUUCACCAAUAUAAAUGUAAAAAAAUCUUAAUCCUCAAAAACUAGGAAUCUGGAACAUACCUGAUUAUGUACACCGCAGAAGAACUACUUAUUGAGCAACAGGUGCUAUGAUUUGUUAAACGAACAUCUCGAGAUUCACGGAAGACAUUCUUUUCCAUGGAAGGCGAGCAUCUGUCAGCUUCGAUUGGCAAAAGUUCCUGUGAAAUUUUUUAAUGUUGAGUGCAAAUAAGUCGGUAUGAUGGCAGAGCACUCGGGUGCCAGAUAGCAACAUUUCCAGAUACAGUACAGACUGGUUUGCUAACGUGUGAGAUGUCCAACCUCAACCAGUAUGCGAAGAACAAAAGGAUAUUCAUAUUUUGUCAGCAAUUGCAAAAGAGUCUUGCUUACGCUAAUAAAUCUGAAGCUCUCCGACCAAAACAUAGUGAAGAUUUCAACAGACAACAGUAUAACUUCUUUAAAAAAUCACUGUGUUGUGCCUAUGAAUCCAAAAUAUGCUGCGGUUUAGCGGAUAUGUUGGUGUACACAGGAUUAAGACUUAGUGGUUGAAUAGUGUUUUAAAGGAGUCGGAAUAGGCUGUUUCAUUUAUUUUAUUUAAAAAAUUUCAAAUUUGUUAAACGACAAAUAUACACUCCCCAAAUGUCGCAUACAAA